rnacentral:rRNA from 1 species
GACAGAGGUCCCAAGCGUUAGGCGGAAUCACUGGGCUUAAAGCGUGUGUAGGCGGAUUUGUAAGUACCUUGUGAAAUCCCACGGCUCAACCGUGGAACUGCUUGGUGUACUGCUUAUCUUGGGCCAUCUAGGGGCGAGCGGAACAAACGGUGGAGCGGUGAAAUGCGUAGAUAUCGUUUGGAACGCCAAUGGUGAAAACAGCUCGCUGGGGAUGUGCCGACGCUGAGAUACGAAAGCCAGGGGAGCGAACGGG